GACGAACGCUGGCGGCGUGCUUAAGACACGCAAGUCGAACGAAGAAUUUAGCAAUAAGUUCUUAGUGGCGAAUGGGUGCGUAACACGUAGGUGACCUACCCCGAAGUGUGGAAUAACAGCCCGAAAGGGCUGCUAAUACCGCAUGUGGUCCCGGGUUUUAGAAAGCCGGGUCUAAAGCAGCAAUGCGCUUCGGGAGGGGCCUGCGGCCCAUCAGCUAGUUGGUAGGGUAAUGGCCUACCAAGGCAACGACGGGUAGGGGACCUGAGAGGGUGACCCCCCACAUUGGCACUGACACACGGGCCAAACUCCUACGGGAGGCAGCAGUCGGGAAUAUUGGGCAAUGGGCGAAAGCCUGACCCAGCAACGCCGCGUGCGCGAUGAAGGCCUUCGGGUCGUAAAGCGCUUUUCGGGAGGAUGAGGAAGGACAGUACUCCCGGAGUAAGUCUCGGCUAACUACGUGCCAGCCGCCGCCGUAACAC
rnacentral:rRNA from 1 species